UACAGGGGGGUGCAAACGUUGCUCGGAAUCAUUGGGCGUAAAGAGCUCGUAGGCGGUCUGUCGCGUCGGCUGUGAAAUCCCGAGGCUCAACCUCGGGUCUGCAGUCGAUACGGGCAAACUAGAGUAUUGCAGGGGAGACUGGAAUUCCUGGUGUAGCGGUGAAAUGCGCAGAUAUCAGGAGGAACACCGGUGGCGAAGGCGGGUCUCUGGGCCUUACCUGACGCUGAGGAGCGAAAGCAUGGGGGAGCAAACUGG
rnacentral:rRNA from 1 species